GGGCCCGCACAAGCGGUGGAGCAUGUGGUUUAAUUCGACGCAACGCGAAGAACCUUACCUGGGCUCGAACGGCUGGUCAACGACGGUGGAAACAUCGUUACUCCGCAAGGGGGUCCAGUCGAGGUGCUGCAUGGCUGUCGUCAGCUCGUGUCGUGAGAUGUUGGGUUAAGUCCCGCAACGAGCGCAACCCUUGUCCUGUGUUGCCACUCCGUAAGGAAGCACUCUCAGGAGACCGCCAGCGAUAAGUUGGAGGAAGGUGGGGACGACGUCAAGUCAUCAUGGCCUUUAUGUCCAGGGCUACACACGUGCUACAAUGGCCGGUACAAAACGACGCAAACCCGCGAGGGGGAGCAAAUCGGCAAAAACCGGUCUCAGUUCGGAUCGCAGGCUGCAAUUCGCCUGCGUGAAGCUGGAAUCGCUAGUAAUGGCGCAUCAGCAUGGCGCCGUGAAUACGUUCCCGGGCCUUGUACACACCGCCCGUCACAUCACGAAAGUGGGUUGUACUAGAAGUCUGCUAGCUAACCGUAAGGAGGCAGCGGCCCAAGGUAUGACUCAUGAUUGGGGUGAAGUCGUAACAAGGUAGCCGUAGGAGAACCUGCGGCU
rnacentral:rRNA from 1 species